GGCAAGGUGCAAAGAAACAUAAUCCACGUAAAACCAUAUAACGAUCAAGGCCCUUGGAGGAACACUGGAGUAUUCAGUCAUCUGUGCCCAGAUCCUUCAAGCCAGAGGCGCGGGACCUUGGGAAGUGUUGUUUCCUCUCAUUCACCCUCUCCUGAUUCAGUCACUCUAGACGAAUGGUUUGACCAAAGGGCCAAGAAGAAUAAAGAUUCCAAUGUGUGAAAAGUUUAAGAUCACUCAGCGUGCAAAAAUCGAGCAGUCUCCAUGCAAGGCAGAUAUGUACUUUGUGGUCAUCAAGCA